rnacentral:rRNA from 1 species
UACGUAGGUGGCAAGCGUUGUCCGGAUUUACUGGGCGUAAAGAGCGCGCAGGCGGUCAGCCAAGUCGAAUGUGAAAGCCCACGGCUCAACCGUGGAGGGUCAUUGGAAACUGGGGGACUUGAGUGCAGAAGAGGAAAGCGGAAUUCCACGUGUAGCGGUGAAAUGCGUAGAGAUGUGGAGGAACACCAGUGGCGAAGGCGGCUUUCUGGUCUGUAACUGACGCUGAGGCGCGAAAGCGUGGGGAGCAAACAGG